rnacentral:rRNA from 1 species
GACGAACGCUGGCGGCGUGCUUAACACAUGCAAGUCAAACGGAAAGGCCCUGCUUUUGUGGGGUGCUCGAGUGGCGAACGGGUGAGUAACACGUGAGUAACCUGCCCUUGACUUUGGGAUAACUUCAGGAAACUGGGGCUAAUACCGGAUAGGAGCUCCUGCUGCAUGGUGGGGGUUGGAAAGUUUCGGCGGUUGGGGAUGGACUCGCGGCUUAUCAGCUUGUUGGUGGGGUAGUGGCUUACCAAGGCUUUGACGGGUAGCCGGCCUGAGAGGGUGACCGGCCACAUUGGGACUGAGAGACGGCCCAGACUCCUACGGGAGGCAGCAGUGGGGAAUAUUGCACAAUGGGCGGAAGCCUGAUGCAGCAACGCCGCGUGCGGGAUGACGGCCUUCGGGUUGUAAACCGCUUUCGCCUGUGACGAAGCGUGAGUGACGGUAAUGGGUAAAGAAGCACCGGCUAACUACGUG